UCCCGGCUGGCACAAUUGGUAGCGCGUGAGACUCUUAUCCGGUGGAUAUCUCAAGGUUGUGGGUUCGAGCCCCACGUUGGGAG
rnacentral:tRNA from 1 species